rnacentral:rRNA from 1 species
GUGAAGCUGGAUUCGCUAGUAAUCGCGCAUCAGCCAUGGCGCGGUGAAUACGUUCCCGGGCCUUGUACACACCGCCCGUCAAGCCAUGGGAGCCGGGAGCGCUUGAAGUGCGUCGCCGCGAGGCGCGCCCUAGAGCGAGACCGGUGACUGGGGCUAAGUCGUAACAAGGUAGC